rnacentral:rRNA from 1 species
GCGAAAGUGACGGUACCUGCAGAAAAAGCGCCGGCUAACUACGUGCCAGCAGCCGCGGUAAUACGUAGGGCGCAAGCGUUAUCCGGAAUUAUUGGGCGUAAAGAGCUCGUAGGCGGUUUGUCGCGUCUGCUGUGAAAUCCGGAGGCUCAACCUCCGGCCUGCAGUGGGUACGGGCAGACUAGAGUGCGGUAGGGGAGAUUGGAAUUCCUGGUGUAGCGGUGGAAGGCGCAGAUAUCAGGAGGAACACCGAUGGCGAAGGCAGAUCUCUGGGCCGUAACUGACGCUGAGGAGCGAAAGGGUGGGGAGCAAACAGGCUUAGAUACCCUGGUAGUCCACCCCGUAAACGUUGGGAACUAGUUGUGGGGUCCAUUCCACGGA